UACGGAGGGGGCUAGCGUUGUUCGGAAUUACUGGGCGUAAAGCGCACGUAGGCGGCUUUGUAAGUUAGAGGUGAAAGCCCAGGGCUUAACCCUGGAAUUGCCUUUAAGACUGCAUCGCUAGAAUCGUGGAGAGGUGAGUGGAAUUCCGAGUGUAGAGGUGAAAUUCGUAGAUAUUGGGAAGAACACCGGUGGCGAAGGCGGCGCUCUGGACCGAGACUGACGCUGAGGCGCGAAAGCGUGGGGAGCAAACAGG
rnacentral:rRNA from 1 species